rnacentral:rRNA from 2 species
ACACGCGUAUCCGAAGGACUCUCGGCAACGGAUAUCUCGGCUCUUGCAUCGAUGAAGAACGUAGCGAAAUGCGAUACUUGGUGUGAAUUGCAGAAUCCCGUGAACCAUCGAGUCUUUGAACGCAAGUUGCGCCUGAAGCCAUUAGGCUGAGGGCAUGCC